rnacentral:lncRNA from 1 species
UUAUUACUACAUUUUUUUACAAGAAAAUACAUUAAAUGACCAUCUCUAUUUUUCUUUCUGCCUUACUAUUACACAGACCAGUUCAAUUACAAAGUACUUUUGAUACAACACACUCAUAUGGAAACAAACAGUCAACACUUUAAUAUAUAUACCUUAGCAUACACUUUGUAAUAUUUGUACAAAAAGAUGACUAAUAACCAUUUUUGGUAAAGGGUUUACAAUGAAAAAAUAAAUAGAGACGUCUUUUGCUACAAACAAGCUUAAAAUAAGUACAUUGCAACCAAAAUUUUUGCUACCAACCCUACAAAAACUCUUAUAAAUCAAUCAAUUGCUCCAAUAUGGCUUCACCCAUCCAAUAGAUUCUUGCAAAACCUAGUAAGAAAAUAAAAUAUCAUUUUAGAGUAUGACUCUACACAUCAAUAUAAGAAUAUAACAAGGUUUUACUCUUUGUAAUGCCAACAAAGGUACAAAUGUAAAAGAAAAUCAACUUUUGAUAUCCAUGAGUCUCCCAAUCAACUUUAACACACCUCAACUAAUCUCAAGGUCAAGAAACCUUGUAGGAUUUUAAAUCUAUGGUAUGAGACCACUAUAAUUCGAACUCAAUCACUCAGAGAUUUUUUUUUUCAACGGUCUCCAUGACAAUACUUCUAGCCCUUGUCACUUCUUAUAAUUGGCCCCUUAUUACUCAAAUGGACAUAAACAACACUUUCUUAAAUGGAGAUUUUUUCUGAAGAUGUUCAUAUGUCCUUACUAAUGGGCUAUAACUUUCAAAGUGCUAAGAAAAGGGGAGAAACUAGCCUACAGACUAAAUAGAUCAAUCUACGAUCUUAAACAAGCUUCAAGACAAUGGAUUGUUAAGUUUGCAUCAACAUGAUCAUUACACGGUUUUCAUCAAUCAAAGUUCGAUUAUUCAUUAUAUACUCUAGGCAACGAAGAUGGUUUUGUGGCACCUAUUAGUAUAUCUAGACGACAUAUUACUAACUAGACCAUCCCUCAAGUAAUUGACUCUGUUAAAAGUGUUUUAGAAAGGACACUAUAAACUCAAAGAUUUGGAACAAGCUAAAUAUUUUAUGGGCUUAAAACUGUCUUGUUCUAAAAAAGGACUCAUGCUUUCCAAAAGAAAAUAUUGUCCGCAGAUACUUGAAGAUAUGGAUUUUUUAGAUGCAUAAAUCAGUAACGUUGCCUAUGGAUCCCAAUCUAAAACUCUCAAAAGAUGAAGUAAAAUUCAUUGUUGACGAGGAUAUCACUUGCUACACAAGAUUGAUUGGAAGAUAUUAUAUCCACAAAUAUCUCGUUCAGAUAUUUGUUUUGUUGUCCAUCGCCUUAGUCGGUUCCUUCAAAGGCUCACAAAAACUCAUUUAGAUACCACACGCCACUUGUUGAAAUACUUGAAGAGAUCGUCAGGCCAAGGCGUCUUGAUCAAACCAGUUGCUACUUUUCACCUAAUAGCCUUUGUUGAUGUUGAUUAGGGAGUAUGUCUCAACACUGGUCGAUCCAUAACUGGCAUUUGUAUCUUUUUGGGAGAUUCCAUAGUUUAUUGGAAGUAAAAAAAAAAAAAAAAAAAAAAGCAAGUCAUAGUCUCGAGAUCGUCUACAAAAGUCAAAUAUAGAGCACUAGCUUUAGUUACAAGUGAACACGUAUGGAUUACACAAUUACUCACUAAUCUACUUGUAAGACCCUCGUUACUAACAAUAGUAUUCUAUUCUAUGAUAAGCAGGCCACAACUGCAAUUGCUUCCAACCCAACAUUCCAUGAGAGGGCUAAACACACAUAGAUUGACUGCCACUUUGUUAGAGACAAAAUCGUCGAUGGAUUCCUCGAAGUCGUGCCCAUCAAAUCUAGACUACAACUAGCAUAACAAUUGGAAGUUUGUUAGGGUAAAGAGGUAGGAGCUUGUUAGAAUAUGUUAAACAUCAAACUUCCCCAACAAAGGACUUGAGCUUUGUAUUUAAUUAAUUGGUGGAGUUAUUUUCUGAUAGUAAGAUAAGUUCCUUUAUUCAACACUUGGUUACAUCUUAGAGUGUUUAAAAUCUUUUGAAAUAUAUACAUAUAUAUAUAUAUAUAUAUAUAUACACAAAGAUUCAAAUGUAACACAUUAUAGAAGAAAGAGGUUAUGUUAAUUAAACAUUGAACUCAUGUUAUCUACGUCUCUUUGAUUUUGCAAAUUGUGAUAUGGGGAAAAAAAGAGGACCACUACCUAGAGGGAAGAUUCAAAAGCAUGAUACGUGUAAGGCUCCAUCACCCUCCCUUUAGGAGUAAUCUACAUCCAGCUGGACAUACACAACACAUGAGAAAUGAUGCUGACAUCGACCAAAGGUCCCACGUGUCAUCUUUGUCAUACAAGGAUUAGGUUGCUUAUCGUGUGGUCAUCACAGUCCUUUCUUCUCGAAUUUACCCGCAACGCCACCGCCCACUUUGAUAUUUCAUUCGCCCUCUAUAUAACUUUUCCAAAAAUAUCUCACAUUUCAACUUUUACCCGUUUCCCAAAACCAAAACAAAUUCGAGUUAUUCUUCUCUUACAUGAAUUCCCACUUUUUCUGCAACUCUAUCUUCCAUUAAUGACUACGCUCGCCAAGCUCCACGUCUACCCACAAACUUUCGAUGGUCCAAGUACUAGAGAUGGGCAUCUGUUCGGAGCUCUUGGUCCGGGACUUCACCGGUUUGAUGCUGGAGUAUCGACAAGACGUGGUCGUGGGUUGUGCUUGAGAAAGUGUAGAUCCUUCAGAGGAGGGGAUGGUGGGGAUUUUGAGAAGGAGAAUAGUAAAGGGAGGAACCGGAGAAAUUCGAGGUUAAAAGAGGUGAAAAUGAAGAAGGAAAGUCAGUUUUGGAAAUUAUUGAGGUCUGGUGUUUUGGGUAAGUUUAAUUUGCUAAUGGGAUCGGAUGUUGAUCAGGGGAAGCUUAUGGCUAAUAUGGAGGGUUUGCUUUCUUCGGUGAGUAUUGCUCUGUGUUGCUCUUCUUAUGUUCUUCGUAAACCCUGUCUCAAGUUCAUGUAUUCUUUGUUCAUCAAGCGAUAUUGAGUUGUUUGGAACAAACUUGAGGAUUUUUCAAAUAGCCCCCUGAUACAUGGUUCUUUACCAUUACUUGGCUUGUUGAGCAAAUGUGCAUGUAGUUUUAGCUCAAAUCACUGUACCUUGAUGUUCGAUUUUUUUUAGUAUAAGAAACCAAUCUUAUAAAAGACAUUAAAAAAAUAUACUCAUACAUCCUCCAAGAAUGGCUGCAUUCGAAAGAAUGAUACUAAGCUGAUAAUUACGAGAAGUUUGACAAACGGAUGCCCAUAAGGAGGCUUUAAAUCUCGCCCCCUCCAUAUUUGUUCUAAGGAAUUCAAAUUGGAAGUUUUCGUUUUCGUUUUCGUUAUUUGUUUUUAGGAUUUCGAAUUUGAAUUUCGUAUAAUUGGAUAAAGAUAUGAAUGAACAAGAAGGAAACUACUCUGGCUACUGUGGCAUCAAAUUGAACCAAAGCCAACUUAAGUCGUAAAUGUAUAGAUCUAUUUUUUUCUAUAUGGUAGAUUUGAUGUAUGUAUACUCAUGAACCAAGGACAUAUGCUUUAAUUUUUUUAUUGGAGACUGUAGUAGUAUCACUGACUGUAGCUCCUUUAUUAUCUUUAAUAAAUAGGCUGCAGUCCAAAUUGGAAGAUAUAUUGUUACAAUGAUGAGCACUGGUGUCGUACUUGCUGUCGGGUUUCAGUUAUCAGGUAUACAACAUUUUAAAAUUAAAAAAAAAAAUACUAUUGUCAUUGUCGAUGUUAAUAUGAAUUCUGUUUCUUGAAAAUUAUGAAGGUGGUGACAGCCAGAUGAACACCUUGAUUUGGUAUAGUUGGCUCGGAGGGGUUAUUAUUGGAACCAUGAUUGGUGCGAACAUGGUAUUAGAGGAGCACUGCAGUGCUGGUCCACGCAAUGUUGUUAUAACUGGAAGGUAACUAAUCACUCCGCAGGGGGAAUGUAGAUAAUUGGCACAUUGUUUUAAUAAUUACGUGGUGAUAGGAAGAUUACUUUAUCUAAUGUUCAUUGUUGGCUUGUUUGAUCUUCCUUUGAUAUAUUAAACUGCCUGCCAUGCUCGUAACAUGAAGACUCAUAUAUGAUCUGUUG